rnacentral:rRNA from 1 species
UACGUAGGGGGCAAGCGUUGUCCGGAUUUACUGGGCGUAAAGAGCGUGUAGGCGGCCAAGCAGGUCCGUUGUGAAAACUGGAGGCUUAACCUCCAGACGUCGACGGAAACCGCGUGGCUAGAGUCCGGAAGAGGAGAGUGGAAUUCCUGGUGUAGCGGUGAAAUGCGCAGAUAUCAGGAAGAACACCAAUGGCGAAGGCAGCUCUCUGGGACGGUACUGACGCUGAGGCGCGAAAGCCAGGGGAGCAAACGGG